AACUGCAGUUUUUCAUGGAAAAAAACAAAGUUAACCAAAAAGUUAACCAAUGAUAACCUCAACAUCUUCUCAGCUGUUUGGGAAGAGACCUUCUAAGCCAAAUUUUAGACAGACUGAAUAUACAAGACAAACUACAUUUGCAGUGACUGCCCCAAUGACCUUACAACCCAAAGCUGUACUAUGUAAAUCAUUACAUUUCUGUAUGAAAAGGCAUUCAAAUCUUCUGGAAUACAUACACUGUGAUGUCAAAUUUAUUAUUUGUACCCCCCCCCCCACCAACGAGGGAAUGGACUGAUGAAGAGAGCAGUGUGGGUUGCUAAGAGAAUUUGACAACAAAAAGACCCUGAGCUAUAUGGCAACCCAACCCAUCAUCAGUCACCAGAGUAAUUACAGUGCAGCUGCUUAUGGGUCAACAUGUCAGAAACUUGCUACCAGCCUUGGAGGUACAAAUAAGUCUUUGUCCUAUGUGGCCUUUCUUAAAGGAUGAGAAGUUAAGAGAUCUCAAGCCUA